AGAUCUCUCGGCAGAAACUCUACAAGCCAGAAGAGAGUGGGGGCCAAUAUUCAACAUUCUUAAAGAAAAGAAUUUUCAACCCAGAAUUUCAUAUCCAGCCAAACUAAGCUUUGUAAGUGAAGGAGAAAUAAAAUACUUUACAGAGAAGCAAAUGCUGAGAGAUUUUGUCACCACCAGGCCUGCCCUAAAAGAGCUCCUGAAGGAAGCACUAAACAUGGAAAGGAACAACCGGUACCAGCCGCUGCAAAAUCAUGCCAAAAUGUAAAGACCAUCGAGACUAGGAAGAAACUGCAUCAACUAACGAGCAAAAUAAACAGCUAACAUCAUAAUGACAGGAUCAAAUUCACACAUAACAAUAUUAACUUUAAAUGUAAACGGAUUAAAUGCUCCAAUUAAAAGACACAG
rnacentral:lncRNA from 10 species